AAGUGUCGGUGAAGGUUUUGAGGAGAGAAGAAAACAUCAGAUUCCCAUCAUUUGCGGUGGUGUUUAUCCGACGAAGAUAUAGCGCCACAAUAAUGAAAAUCUGAAAAUCAAAAUAUUUAUAUAAAGCACAGCACUUUCUCGGUGAUUCCCCUAGAACCCCUCGUGUCCAUUCCCUUCUCUCUCCCUCUCUCUCCCCUUCACUCUGACUCUCUUUAAUUAGCACUUGAGCCUCCGUAUUUGACGCUAGCUUCGCUGGAAGCUCUUUCUCCGCAUCGGAUCUGGGGUUUCUUCGCGUUCUUUUGAAGGAAAGGGGAAAAAAAAGAAGGGAGGUUGUUGUUUAAACUUUAAAGGUUGAUUGUUCUUUGGGAAAGCGCAUGAGCCGUGUCGAACAAGUUAAAUUGCAUUCAAUUAAGCUGUCUUCCAUUUGAUUGCAAGUUAAAUUGGAAAGUGUUGUUUGCUUGAUGAAGCUAGAUAUCAAGUUUCACCUGUAAAACUAGUAUAUAUAUGUUGCAAAGAGGUAAUUCCUUAUAAUGGGUUGACUCCAAAGUUUCAAAUUUGGCUGUUUCCUUUUGAGGGGUGAAAAAUAUCGUGGCUUUGAUCAUUUGGAGUUUGGGGAGCAGGUUAACAAUUACGUUGGGUUAAUUGGUUGUAAUGGAUCGUAAGAGUCCGAGGGAAAAAGACUCUGAAGUUGAUCUUGAAAGUGGGGUGGUAGUUAGUGAAGAAGAUUCAAGCGACAGCCCUGUUUCGAGUGCUAAGAAGCAGGCAAAGACAUUAAUUUCUAAGGUUUGUGGUGGACUUUUGGAUGGAUCAGUUAAGGUUGAAGAGAGGGUCAGUUUGUGUGGCAAUGGGUCCAAUUCCAAUGGAGUCUCCCCCGAGAAUUUGAAAGUGGCAACAAACAAGAUGUUGCAAGGAAAUGAAGGUACAGAUCACGUAGAGAAGACACGGGUGAAGGAUAAGCGUAAGAAGAUGACCAAUAAAAAACCUCCUAAACCUCCCAGACCUCCAAGAGGUCCAUCAUUGGAUGCAGCAGACCAGAAGUUGAUCAAGGAACUCUCUGAGAUUGCCAUGUGGAAACGUGCAAGGAUUGAUCGGAUGAAAGCCUUGAAGAAAAUGAAAGCUGCUAAGGCAUCAUCUUCCAAUAGCAGCAUAUUUGCCAUGGUGUUCACCAUUCUUUUCUGUCUUGUACUAAUCUUUCAAGGAAUUUCUUCUAGAAGAAGCUCACCUGUAAGCUUCGAGGGAUCUCCUGUGUCUGGAGGAGGAAUGGAGGGCAGUUUGAUAUCCGUUCAGUACUACCCAAAUCUGUCAUCAACUGCCCCAAAUGGGCCUGGUUCUGAGUCCCCCAAUAUCGUAGAGCAGGUUGCUGGUUCAGAUCCGCGGGAGAAGCUGAAAAGAUGGGCAGGAUGAUGUUGCAAUUUUGUUGCCUAGUCUAUCUGGAAGAACAAAUUUCCAUAUGCUUUUGAAUCCUCAUGCAAGCCAUUGAUACUUCCACUUUUUUGUUUGAAUGGUCUACUGAAGCUGAUUUAUCCCCUGUAUGUACAGAGACAGAGAGAGAGACAGAGAGAGAGACAGAGAGAGACAGAGAGAGGUUACGUACGAUACAAUUUUUAGUAGUGUUCUGCAGGUGAUGUCAAGUGCAUACUGAUGAGUUGCCUUCUUUGCAACCUGUCCAAAUAAAAUUAUGGGUUUAUUAUGAUGGGGUUUCUAAAUAUAGUUUGGAUGAUGCAACGGUUUCUUUCGCAAGAUGCAAAGAUUUCCUUUAUGGCUGGAAAUGCAAUGAAUGUAGGUAUGUUUUCCCAAUGAGCGCGAGGGGUUGAUAAUUUUGAUCUCCUGUUGUUUUGCUAGAAAGUCUAGAACUCUUGUUAUGUAAUGUGUAUUGGUUUUAGCCACAAAUGGUUUUGAAGAAAAGGGAAAAGACUUUUCCAAACUUGGCAAUAGGGAUCCAUUGAUUUCUCUUUACUGGUUGUGUGGGACCAUUUAAGGCAAUCCCAAAUGUUGUGUGCGCCUUGGUUCCCUCUUCCUUUUUCUGUUUAUCGAAGUCCUGUGAACCAGGUUGUUCUUUUGACA